CCUACGGGAGGCAGCAGUAGGGAAUAUUGCACAAUGGGCGAAAGCCUGAUGCAGCAACGCCGCGUGUGUGAUGAAGGCCUUCGGGUCGUAAAGCACUUUUCUGGGAGAUGAGAAAGGACAGUAUCCCAGGAAUAAGUCUCGGCUAACUACGUGCCAGCAGCCGCGGUAAUAGGUAAAACGUAGGAGGCGAGCGUUAUCCGGAUUCACUGGG
rnacentral:rRNA from 1 species